ensembl:lncRNA
AAUUAGUAAAGGAACCAUUGCGCUAUCCACGAACAAGAGGAUUGGAUUGGUAAACACCAUUUCGUGCGUUUAGUUGAGCACCAUUCUCGGGAUUUGGUCCGAGCCCCUGUCCGACAGGCCCGGUGGACCCCUUCCCCUUGGAAGCGUCUUUCAGCCCAGUGUGUCAGUCAGAAUGGGACAAUAGCUGCAGUCGCCAUCGGACCUCCCCCUUUCUCUCCUUGUCUGCCCCGUCCCCACACCCUUCCCCUAACACUCACACAUAUAUACACACUCACACACACACACAGACCCAGCCAGUCCCUGACCACUCCUCCCACUGUACUGGUUUUGGUCCACUCCCUCUUCUACCUCUCUAGGCAGCCAGCCUUGUCAAGCCAAACGAAACCAUAAUCCUCUGUAAAAGAUAGGCAGCUGUAUAGGCCCCUAUCCUCCCUUUGUUGGUGGCUUUGUUUAAAGGGCUUCCAUGAGAGUAGCGGCUAGAGAACACAAGACCGCACCCAGUCAGCCGUUUUACUGGAAACAAACGAGCAGUGGUGGUGGUUGGGACACUGAUGGAAUUCUAGUAGCAUGAUGUUGGGCUGGCAUCGCCACCACACGCCAUCGAUGAACCAGAGGGCCACCAGCAGACUUUGGAGAUCGACACAUCUCAACUUGUGGUGGGACAAGAGGUUGAAAUAAAAACAUUCAUUUUUUUCAGGAUAUUUCUUUUGCCUCAUUUUUUUUGCUUCUCCAGUGAUCAGCUAAACCAAAGUGCCUUUAUUGGUUUCUCACUGCUUUUACUAUAAACUUGAUCUAACUUCAAAUUACACUCCAAUAUCUGAAAAGAAUAUCUAAAAGAAACAUUUCAAGGAUUUUGCACUUUUCAUUCACACACCUCCAUACCCAUUGCCUGUUGCACUUGUCAUAUCAUACAGUUGCACAGUACUGACAGUGCACACUUGUUUACAGUAAAAACAUACACCUCCGUACCGACUUGACAAUCCCACCCCGUAUUUCACCUAACCACAGCGUUCCUCUAGUGUAGGUUGCUAGGACUAACGAAGCCAAACAUAUCACCAAACCGCUC